ACGCUGGCGGCAGGCCUAACACAUGCAAGUCGAGCGGUAGCACAGGAGAGCUUGCUCUCUGGGUGACGAGCGGCGGACGGGUGAGUAAUGUCUGGGAAACUGCCUGAUGGAGGGGGAUAACUACUGGAAACGGUAGCUAAUACCGCAUGACCUCGCAAGAGCAAAGUGGGGGACCUUCGGGCCUCACGCCAUCGGAUGUGCCCAGAUGGGAUUAGCUAGUAGGUGGGGUAAUGGCUCACCUAGGCGACGAUCCCUAGCUGGUCUGAGAGGAUGACCAGCCACACUGGAACUGAGACACGGUCCAGACUCCUACGGGAGGCAGCAGUGGGGAAUAUUGCACAAUGGGCGCAAGCCUGAUGCAGCCUUGCCGCGUGUGUGAAGAAGGCCUUAGGGUUGUAAAGCACUUUCAGCGAGGAGGAAGGGUUCAGUGUUAAUAGCACUGUACAUUGACGUUACUCGCAGAAGAAGCACCGGCUAACUCCGUGCCAGCAGCCGCGGUAAUACGGAGGGUGCAAGCGUUAAUCGGAAUUACUGGGCGUAAAGCGCACGCAGGCGGUUUGUUAAGUCAGAUGUGAAAUCCCCGGGCUCAACCUGGGAACUGCAUUCAAAACUGACUGACUAGAGUAUGGUAGAGGGUGGUGGAAUUUCCUGUGUAGCGGUGAAAUGCGUAGAUAUAGGAAGGAACACCAGUGGCGAAGGCGACCACCUGGACUAAUACUGACACUGAGGUGCGAAAGCGUGGGGAGCAAAC
rnacentral:rRNA from 1 species